GGGGAUGUAGCUCAGUGGUAGAGCACUUGCUUAGUAUGCAUGAAGCUAUAGGUAAAUCCCUA
rnacentral:tRNA from 1 species